UACGUAGGGGGCAAGCGUUGUCCGGAUUUAUUGGGCGUAAAGAGCGUGUAGGCGGCCAGGUAGGUCAGCUGUGAAAACUCGAGGCUCAACCUCGAGACGCCGGUUGAAACCAUCUGGCUAGAGUCCGGAAGAGGAGAGUGGAAUUCCUGGUGUAGCGGUGAAAUGCGCAGAUAUCAGGAAGAACACCCGUGGCUAAGGCGGCUCUCUAGUACGGUACUGACGCUGAGACGCGAAAGCGUGGGGGAGCGAACAGG
rnacentral:rRNA from 1 species